rnacentral:rRNA from 1 species
GGCAGCAGCCGCGGUAAUACGGAGGGGGCUAGCGUUGUUCGGAAUUACUGGGCGUAAAGCGCGCGUAGGCGGACUUUCAAGUCAGGGGUGAAAUCCCGAGGCUCAACCUCGGAACUGCCUUUGAUACUGUAAGUCUUGAGUCCGAGAGAGGCGAGUGGAAUUCCUAGUGUAGAGGUGAAAUUCGUAGAUAUUAGGAAGAACACCAGUGGCGAAGGCGGCUCACUGGCUCGGUACUGACGCUGAGGCGCGAAAGCGUGGGGAGCAAACAGGAUGAGAUACCCCGGUAGUC